rnacentral:lncRNA from 1 species
CUUUCAUCCCUUUGUUGCUACCUCAAAGGGCUUAGGGAAAAGUAGAGAAGCAACAGUAGAAGCUUCAGAAGCCACUUUCUUACUCUCCUCCACUCUGUCCUCUUGGGGCGUAAAGCAGAUGUAUGAAACCCAAACACUCCUCUACCCCUCCUGGGACUCAGGAAAAUCUUCUCCCCAAGGAAGGAAGGCAUAAAUGAGCUCUGCCCAUGUUAAAGCCGGUGUGAAUCUUGCCCAGACUUUGAAAUGCCAGAGUUGAACUCCAGGACAUCACUGAGCAGCAAGCUGAAUGAAAGUGUUGAAUCACUUAAUGAAAAACACACAAACAGUAAGACUAGCAUUCUGACUCAAGAGAAGAAAGAAAAGACGACUUCGUUUGACAUGUGGUAUUACAUUCCGGUGCACCGCCACACGACUGGGUUCAUCACCACCAGCUGCGGGGGUAGCCAAUAUAUUGCCUGGUUGUGUGGCUGAUGGCAGGCGGACACUGAAGACAGACAAUUUUUGGCCCCAGAAUUUUAAGAAGUAGCUAUCUCAUGCUUAAUUUUCUUAGAGUAGUUCACAUCUCUGAAAUCGAUUUAUGUGAGAUUUAGCAUAUCCAACAAGGGAGGUAGAAUAACUUGCCCUAAGGUGCUGGGCCCUGUAAAGACAAACAAAAGAACAUCUGUGAAGGUGUAUGGAAAGAUGGGUAUUUGUACAAACAGGGAAGUAAAUAAGAAAAGGCUAAAAUCCUAGAAAAUGGGAACUUCCAGGAAAAGCGCUAGAAUAAUUCAGGCUGGAGUAAAAUUGGCUAUGGAAUUUUAAUAAUAGCUAACAUUUCUAUAGCACUUUAAGGUUUUCAAAGUGCUUUACAAAUAUCUCGUUUUAUGCUCACAACAACCCUGGGAGGUAGAUACUAUUAUUGUCCCCGUGUUAUAGAUGAGGUAAUGGAAAGAGACAGAGAUUAAGCUUUUAUCCAAGAUAGAACUAGCGUCAGAGAGUGGCUUUGGACUUAAUGUCUUCCUGAUCCUAAGCCUAGCCUUUUCAGUAUAUUAUUAAUCUUUUACAUAUCACUGUGUUGGUUGACUUCUCUCAUUCUAACUCAUUCCAAGAGAAUAGGAAGGCAUCUCAGAACCUAUCUAGUACAACUAGAGCCUCUUUGUGACAUGCCCAACAUACUUAAGAAGUGGUGAUCUAGCCUUUGCCUGUAGACUUCCAUUUAGGAGGAAACUCCUUUCUUCAGAGGCAUUCCACUUUCAAAAAGCUCUAAUUGCUAUAAAGGGGCAUCUAGGUGGUUCAGUGGAGAGCAGGCCAGCCCAGGGGUCAGGAGGACCUGAGUUCAAGUCUGGCCUCAGAUACUAUCUGUGUCUUGGGGAAGUCACUUAACUUCUAUCUGCCUCAGUUUCCUCAUCUGUAAAAUGAGUUGGAGAAGGAAAUGGCAAACCUCUCUAGCAUCUUUGCCAAGAAAACCUCAAAUAAGAUCAAGAAGAGUCAG